rnacentral:rRNA from 1 species
UGGGGAAUUUUGGACAAUGGGCGAAAGCCUGAUCCAGCAAUGCCGCGUGUGUGAAGAAGGCCUUCGGGUUGUAAAGCACUUUUGUCCGGAAAGAAAUCCUUGGCUCUAAUACAGUCGGGGGAUGACGGUACCGGAAGAAUAAGCACCGGCUAACUACGUGCCAGCAGCCGCGGUAAUACGUAGGGUGCAAGCGUUAAUCGGAAUUACUGGGCGUAAAGCGUGCGCAGGCGGUUUGCUAAGACCGAUGUGAAAUCCCCGGGCUCAACCUGGGAACUGCAUUGGUGACUGGCAGGCUAGAGUAUGGCAGAGGGGGGUAGAAUUCCACGUGUAGCAGUGAAAUGCGUAGAGAUGUGGAGGAAUACCGAUGGCGAAGGCAGCCCCCUGGGCCAAAUACUGACGCUCAUGCACGAAAGCGUGGGGAGCAAACAGGAUUAGAUACCCCUGGGUAGUCCACGCCCUAAAACGAUGUCAACUAGUUGUUGGGGAUUCAUUCCUAGUAACGUAGCUAACGCGUGAAGUUGACCGCCUGGGGAGUACGGUCGCAAGAUUAAAACUCAAAGGAAUUGACGGGGUCAUAGCUGUUUCCU